rnacentral:rRNA from 1 species
AGAUUAGUUGAUCAUGGCUCAGACGAACGCUGGCGCGUGCUAACACAUCAAGUCGAACGCGAAAGGGACUUCGGUCCCGAGUAGAGUGGCGCACGGGUGAGUAACGCGUAAGAAUCUACCCCUGUAUCUGGAAUAACCCACCGAAAGGUGAGCUAAUACCGGAUACGUUUAUCUUGAUGCGAAUGAUGAUAAAGAAAGGUGGCCUCUUCAUGAAAGCUACCGUACAGGGACGAGCUUGCGUACCAUUAGCUGGUUGGUAGGGUAAUGGCCUACCAAGGCGACGAUGGUUAGCGGGUCUGAGAGGAUGAUCCGCCACACCGGAACUGAGACACGGUCCAGACUCCUACGGGAGGCAGCAGUGGGGAAUCUUCCGCAAUGGGCGAAAGCCUGACGGAGCAACGCCGCGUGAGUGAGGAAGGCCUUCGGGUCGUAAAACUCUGUCUUCAGGGAAGAAAAAAAUGACGGUACCUGAGGAGGAAGCCCCGGCUAACUCGUGCCAGCAGCCGCGGUAAAACGUAGGGGGCGAGCGUUGU